CAUCAAUCACUCAACUUCCGGUGCUUUUUUCUCGCACCCUUUAGUUUCGAAGCAGUUCUCUACGUGUCUUAUUUUUGUCAUCCAAUCCUUAGUAGCUCCACAAGAAAACAUUUUAACUAAGUUAUUCAGAGUAGUUUCCAUGUGCUCCUACUUCCAAACAGGCGUAUUUAUUACUUACAGGAGAACUGCUUGUAAUGUCCAAGACAUUGCAUAUAGAAGACCAUUUAUUAGGAACGGACCAGAGUAGGUAAAACACAAUCCCCUCCCAUCCACAGCAGUCUGCCCCAACUGCCAUCUGAACUGCCCACGGCCCCCCAGAAACUGCUGCUCUGCCCAGCCCUGCAUGGGCUGGAAAGGCCCUCCCUGAGGGUCAGAGACGGGGCUCAGGGAAAGGCUAGGAAGUCUCUCCUCAACGUCUCUCACAUGCUUAGCUCCAUGGCUUUGAUGGUCCCUGGAGAAGCAUUUUUAACUCUUCAGUGAACUUCCCCGAAUGCAACACUGUCAUUGUUCUGCCAAGAUUGAAUCCCCAAGGGUUUUGAUCACGAAUCGCUAUCUAAAUUCUAUACCCACGGCAACUCCCUGCUCUCAACUUUGAGUACCGCAAAAAAAUGCUAACUUUGUCUUGAGUUUGUGCCACUUUCCUUUCACUAAUUUCUUUCACUAAUUUUCACUAAUGCAUUAGUUCAGGAACAUUUGUGUGUCUCCCUCGCAUGCACACAGAGCAGCCCGUUGUCCUUUACAAACAGGCACCUCGAUAGAGGAGAUCCAGCAGUCUCUCCAGCCAGGAGCCGGAAGCCCGGACCACGAACGUGAAGGGACCCUGCCCUCAGGCUCCCGAGAGCAAAGCUGCUCGGAAAACAGAAACAAAGGAUUUUCAUUAUUCAGUUCUUAGUUUCUCUAACAUUUUCUCUUUCAACACAGAGUACAUCAUCGCCCAUAACCCAAAAGCAACACUAACUGCCUCACAAGUCCCUCUAGGACUUCAGGUCUAACAAGCUCGUUGGUGAAGAGCACACUGACAACUUGGCUAUUAAAAUGACGGCAGCCAUUCAUGUUUUCUCAGCACUAGUUAUUUGAAGCUCAAUCACUAAUUUAGGGGCCAGAAACAGAAUUCGGCCAUUCCCACCUACACUGCUAACAUAGGAGACCAGCCACACUGAGUCGGGAGUGAAACGAAGGACACGAUAAACACAGAGCAGAAGGCGAUCCGUGCUGUUUGUCUAAAGCCACAUGAACCAUCCAAUAGGGAGUAAAUGAAUUAACUAAACCAAAGGUAGGCUGAGGACAAUUCUUCCAAAAUAAAUGGAUGCUUUUUAUAUUAAAUGGGGGAAUCUUGUUAAUACCAAAUAAUACAUUUAAGAAAAGCCCCCAGAACUAAAAUUUGCCUACUCUUUCUACAGAGAGGCAGGAACACCAGGGCAUAUUAAGAUCAGAUUGGUGUCACUUUGUAAUUUUUGAAAUCUUUCAUUAAUUGUAAAACAUAGCUCUGAUAUGGGUAGAAACAUAAAAACUGUAUUUUAACAAUAAGUUUCAGCAUUUGUACAAUGAAAAAAAGUGUCUGUAUUUCAACUAUGGAGAUUUAUUUCACGUAACUGUCUUUAUAGACCAUCUGGAAAUGUAGAGGUCUUAACAGCAUAAGAAGAGAAGAAGUCUUACUGUGCUGUAUCUAUUUUUCUGAGCCUCUUUUAAUAAAGAUUACAAGAUGGCAUCCAAAAAAA
ensembl:lncRNA